rnacentral:other from 1 species
UAGUCCCUGCGAUGUAAGUGAUGUAAGGGUGCUUUUGAACCAACACUAUUUUAAAGGGAGCCUAACUUUAGGUGUGGCUGUAGACUUUGUUUUCUAGAAGCAAAGGAACAUCAAGCAUCUAAGAGGGCACCCACUUAUUUAUAGGGUUCAUUAAAGAUCUCCCUUCACACGACAUCCGUGGGGAUUUU